rnacentral:rRNA from 1 species
CCUACGGGAGGCUGCAGUGGGGAAUAUUGGACAAUGGGGGGAACCCUGAUCCAGCCAUGCCGCGUGUGUGAAGAAGGCCCUCGGGUUGUAAAGCACUUUCAGUGAGGAAGAACGCCUGGUGGUUAAUACCCAUCAGGAAAGACAUCACUCACAGAAGAAGCACCGGCUAACUCCGUGCCAGCAGCCGCGGUAAUACGGAGGGUGCGAGCGUUAAUCGGAAUUACUGGGCGUAAAGCGCGCGUAGGUGGCUUGAUAAGCCGGUUGUGAAAGCCCCGGGCUCAACCUGGGAACGGCAUCCGGAACUGUCAAGCUAGAGUGCAGGAGAGGAAGGUAGAAUUCCCGGUGUAGCGGUGAAAUGCGUAGAGAUCGGGAGGAAUACCAGUGGCGAAGGCGGCCUUCUGGACUGACACUGACCCUGAGGUGCGAAAGCGUGGGUAGCAAACAGGAUUAGAUACCCUGGUAGUC